GCUGAACGCUUUCUUCUUUCCUAAUACAUGCAAGUCGAGCGAACAGAUAAUGAGCGUUCUCCUUUGACGUUAGCGGCGGACGGGUGAGUAACACGUGGGUAACCUACCUAUAAGACUGGAAUAACUCCGUGAAACAGGUGCUAAUGCCGGAUAACAUGUUCAACCGCAUGGUUCUACAGUUAAUUGCGCCUUUGCUGUUACUUAUAGAUGGACCCGCGCCGUAUUAGCUAGUUGGUGAGGUAACGACUCACCAAGGCAACGAUACGUAGCCGACCUGAGAGGGUGAUCGGCCACACUGGAACUGAGACACGGUCCAGACUCCUACGGGAGGCAGCAGUAGGGAAUAUUCCGCAAUGGGCGAAAGCCUGACGGAGCAACGCCGCGUGAGUGAUGAAGGUCUUCGGAUCGUAAAACUCUGUUAUUAGGGAAGAACAAAUGCAUAAGUAACUGUGCGCGUCUUGACGGUACCUAAUGAGAAAGCCACGGCUAACUACGUG
rnacentral:rRNA from 1 species